rnacentral:rRNA from 1 species
GGAAAGAUGAAAAGAACUUUGAAAAGAGAGUUAAACAGUACGUGAAAUUGUUGAAAGGGAAACGAUUGAAGUCAGUCAUACCAACGGGAAAUCAACCUUUUGAGUUUGGUCUUGUGGGUUUCGGAGAGUUUAAAAGCCCUUCGGAUUCGUUAGGAUUGGGCUCUUUUGGUGUACUUUCUCGUACGGUUAGUCAACAUCGGUUUUGAAUGUCAUAAAAUGACUGGAGGAAUGUGGCUUCGAUCUCGUAUCGAAGUGUUAUAGCCUUUGGUAGAUGUGAUGUUCGAGUCCGAGGAUUGCAACGGAUACCCUUCUGGGCUAUUCGUCUGAUCUCUGAUACGUUGCCUUGAUGUCGAAAGCUUGCUUAUGAUGUUAGGGUAUUACGGUCAAAAGGUUAGAACGGAUUAAAUUCGUUAAGGAUGUUGACGUAAUGACUUUAAACGACCCGUCUUGAAACACGGACCA